rnacentral:rRNA from 1 species
AUUGAACGCUGGCGGCAUGCCUUACACAUGCAAGUCGAACGGCAGCACGGACUUCGGUCUGGUGGCGAAUGGCGAACGGGUGAGUAAUGUAUCGGAACGUACCUUUCAGUGGGGAUAACGUAGCGAAAGUUACGCUAAUACCGCAUAUUCUGUGAGCAGGAAAGCAGGGGAUCGCAAGACCUUGCGCUGAUUGAGCGGCCGAUAUCAGAUUAGCUAGUUGGUGAGGUAAAGGCUCACCAAGGCGACGAUCUGUAGCGGUCUGAGAGGAUGAUCCGCCACACUGGAACUGAGACACGGUCCAGACUCCUACGGGAGGCAGCAGUGGGGAAGUUUUGGACAAUGGGGGCAACCCUGAUCCAGCCAUGCCGCGUGAGUGAAGAAGGCCUCGGUUGUAAG